GGGGCUGAUUUAGGAUUCGACAGGAUCAAUGAGUCCAGUGGAGCAUGUCGAGGGGCGGUUGGCCUCGUUAAAAGCCGCAAAAAAAUAGUCGCAAACGACGAAAACUACGCAGUAGCAGCUUAAUAACCUGCUAGUGCUCUCCUGCCCCAGCUUCUGCCUGUAAGACGGGGACCAACAGGGGAUCAAACCCAAACAGGAUCGCGUGGAUGCUCCCGCUUGAGAGCUGAACCGUUAAACCUAAUUCAAGCUAGUGAUAGUGUGGCGUGUUGACCCGCAGCAUUAUCGCGAAUUUAAAGGUCGACUAAACAUGUAGGGCCACUGGGUAAGAGGGUUCUGGACGGGGGUUCAACUCCCCCCAGCUCCACCA
rnacentral:tmRNA from 1 species